CAUCAGGCACGCUGCCUGCUCCAGGCCUCCAUUCAACAUGAUGAGGGAGAAGAUCCAAAGGUGUGGCUAGUUCCUAAAGAGCAAGUAGCUGCAGUAGGAUUGGACAAAAGCAAUCUUUGGCAGAGUUUUUUAGGCUUUAACAGGACUGUAAUGGCAUGACAUGACAUUCAUUGAAUUUAGGAAAGAGCAGGGAUAAUCUUCAGAAUGAGAGAAAUACAGAAAAUCUACCCAGAAGAAACAAUGACAGAAGAUUCCUCCACAUAUGCAAACACAAAGAGGUCAAUUUAUAUCUAGUUUUUUCAACAUGUCUUUAUU